rnacentral:rRNA from 1 species
AUUGAACGCUGGCGGCAUGCUUUACACAUGCAAGUCGGACGGCAGCACAGGGAAGCUUGCUUCUUGGGUGGCGAGUGGCGAACGGGUGAGUAACAUAUCGGAACGUACCGAGCAGUGGGGGAUAACUAAUCGAAAGAUUAGCUAAUACCGCAUAUCUUCUGAGGAAGAAAGCAGGGGACCAUUUGGCCUUGCGCUGUUUGAGCGGCCGAUAUCUGAUUAGCUGGUUGGUGGGGUAAAGGCCUACCAAGGCGACGAUCAGUAGCGGGUCUGAGAGGAUGAUCCGCCACACUGGGACUGAGACACGGCCCAGACUCCUACGGGAGGCAGCAGUGGGGAAUUUUGGACAAUGGGCGCAAGCCUGAUCCAGCCAUGCCGCGUGUCUGAAGAAGGCCUUCGGGUUGUAAAGGACUUUUGUCAGGGAAGAAAAGGGCGGGGUUAAUACCCCUGUCUGAAGACGG